GCUUGGGUGGGAGGCGGCGGUGGACUCUGGCCGGAAGUGGGGUAGAGUCAAUUGUUGGCCGGAGAGCAGCGACGGGCGGUGGGUGGGCUGGCCGGAAGCAAGGGUGCGUGGUUACGAGUGCGUGGCUACGGUUGCUGCUUCUUCUUCUCUCUUUCUUUCUUUCUUUCUUUUUUUUUUUUUGAUAGCUUCGUUGCAGCGAGAACGCCAAAGAUCACUGCUCUGAUACCAAUUGAUAAGACCCUAAAGUCUUAUCGUCGCUUUGAUACCAAUUGAUAAGAUCCUAAAGUCUUAUCGUC
rnacentral:lncRNA from 1 species